CAUUCCCUAGUCGCCUUUUGCCAACAUUAGGGCUCCAAUCCCUGAGUUGAGCCUUUUUAGACAUAGGGCCUCCAUUCCCUAGACGCCUUUUACCAACAUUAGGGCUCCAAUCCCUGAGUUGAGAUUUUUAGACAUAGGGCCUCCAUUCCCUAGUCGCCUUUUGCCAACAUUAGGGCUCCAAUCCCCGAGUUGAGCAUUUUUAGACAUAGGGCCUCCAUUCCCUAGUCGCCUUUUGCCAACAUUAGGGCUCCAAUCCCUGAGUUGAGCUUUUUAGACAUAGGGCCUCCAUUCCCUAGUCGCCUUUUGCCAAAAUUAGAGCUCCAAUCCCUGAGUUGAGCUUUUUAGACAUAGGGUCUCCAUUCCCUAUUCGCCUUUUUCCAACCUUAGGGCUCCAAUCCCUGAGUUGAGCCUUUUUUGACAUAGGGCCUCCAUUCCCUAGUCACCUUUUGCCAACAUUAGGGCUCCAAUCCCCGAGUUGAUCCUUUUUACACAUAGGGCCUCCAUUCCCUAGUGCCUUUUGCUAACAUUAGGGCUCCAAUCCCUGGGUUGAGCUUUUUUAACAUAGGGCCUCCAUUCCAUAGUCGCCUUUUGCCAACAUUAGGGCCUCAAUCCCUGAGUUGAGCCUUUUUAGACAUAGGGCCUCUACUCACUAGUGCCUUUUGCUAACAUUAGGGCUCAAAUCCCUGAGUUGAGCCUUUUUUGACAUAGGUCCUCCAUUCCCUAGUCGCCUUUUGCCAACAUUAGGGCCCCAAUCCCUAAGUUGAGCCUUUUUAGACAUAGAGCCUCUACUCCUUAGUGCCUUUUGCUAACAUUAGGGCUCCAAUCCCUGAGUUGUGAUUUCUAGACAUAGGGCAUCCAUUCCCUAGUCGCCCUUCGCCAACAUUAGGGCUCCGAUCCCUGAGUUGAGCCUUUUUAGAUAUAGGGCCUCUAUUCCCUAGUCGCCUUUUGCCAACAUUAGGGCUUCAAUCCCUGAGUUGAGCCUUUUUAGACAUAGGGCCUCCAUUCCCUAGUCGCCUUUUGCCAACAUUAGGGCUUCAAUCCCUGAGUUGAGCCUUUUUAGACAUAGGGCCUCCAUUCCCUAGUCGCCUUUUGCCAACAUUAGGGAUCCAAUCCCUAAGUUGAGCCUUUUUAGACAUAGGGCCUCCAUUCCCUAGUCGCCUUUUGCCAACAUUAGGGCUCCAAUCCAUGAGUUAAGUCAUUUUAGACAUAGGGCCUCCAUUCCCUAGUCGCCUUAUGUCAACAUUAAGGCUCCAAUACCUGAGUUGAACUUUUUAGACAUAGGGCCUCCUUUCCCUAGUCGCCUUUUGCCAACAUUAGGGCUCCAAUCCCUGAGUUGAGCUAUUUAUACAUAGGGCCUCCGUUCCCUAGUCGCCUUUUGCCAAAAUUAGGGCUCCAAUCCCUGAGUUGAGCUUUUUAGACAUAGGGCCUCCAUUCCCUAGUCGCCUUUGCCAACAUCAGGGAUCCAAUCCCUGAGUUGAGCCUUUUUAGACAUAUGGCCUCCAUUCCCUAGUUGUCUUUUGCCAACAUUAGGAUUCCAAUCCCUGAGUUGAGCUUUUUAGACAUAGGGCCUCCAUUCCCUAGUCACCUUUUGCCAACAUUAGGGAUCCAAUCCCUGAGUUGAGCCUUUAUAGUCAUAGGGCCUCCUUUCCCUAGUUGCCCUUCGCCAACAUUAGGGCUCCAAUUCUUGAGUUGAACCUUGUUAGAUAUAGGGCCUCCAUUCCAUAGUCGCCUUUUGCCAACAUUAGGGCUCCAAUCCCUAAGUAGAGUCUUUUUUGACAUAGGGCCUCUAUUCCCUAGUCGCCUUUGCCAAUAUUAGAGAUCCAAUUCCUGAGUUGAGCAUUUUGAGACAUAGAGUCUCCAUUCCCUAGUCGCCUUUUGGCAACAUUAGGACUCCAAUCCCUGAGUUGAGCUUUUUAGACAUAGGGCCUCCAUUCCCUAGUCGUCUUUUGCCAACAUUAGGGAUCCAAUCCCUGAGUUGAGCCUUUUUAGACAUAGGGCCUCCAUUCCCUAGUCGCAUUUUACCAACAUUAGGGCUCUAAUCCCUGAGUUGAGCCUUUUUAGACAUAGGGCCUCCAUUCCCUAGUCGCCUUUUGCCAACA
rnacentral:lncRNA from 1 species